rnacentral:tRNA from 1 species
AGGGACGUGGUGAAAUGGCAUCACAGCACUCUCCAAAAGUGCUUUUCCCCGUUCAAAUCGGGGCGUCCCUGCCA